UACGUAGGGUGCGAGCGUUGUCCGGAAUUAUUGGGCGUAAAGAGCUCGUAGGCGGCCUGUCGCGUCGGAUGUGAAAGCCCGGGGCUCAACCCCGGGUCUGCAUUCGAUACGGGCAGGCUGGAGUGUGGUAGGGGAGAUCGGAAUUCCUGGUGUAGCGGUGAAAUGCGCAGAUAUCGGGAGGAACACCGGUGGCGAAGGCGGUUCUCUGGGCCUUACCUGACGCUGAGGAGCGAAAGCUAGGGGAGCGAACUGG
rnacentral:rRNA from 1 species